rnacentral:rRNA from 1 species
GAUGAACGCUGGCGGCGUGCUUAACACAUGCAAGUCGAACGAAGCAACUUGUUACGAUCCCUUCGGGGUGACGACUUGUUGACUGAGUGGCGGACGGGUGAGUAACGCGUGGGUAACCUACCUUGUACAGGGGGACAACAGUUGGAAACGACUGCUAAUACCGCAUAAGCGCACAGCAUCGCAUGAUGCAGUGUGAAAAGUUUUUCGGUACAAGAUGGACCCGCGUCUGAUUAGAUAGUUGGUGAGGUAACGGCUCACCAAGUCGACGAUCAGUAGCCGGCCUGAGAGGGUGAACGGCCACAUUGGGACUGAGACACGGCCCAAACUCC